GGCUCCCCUCCGCGGCGGGGCGGGGCUACCUGCCCCAAGGUGUGGGGGGGGGCGAAGGGGGGAAGGCAACAGCCUUUAGGUCAGUGAGGAGGGGUGCGCCGGUCGGGAGAGGAAGGGAUGAAGGGGAGGGUUUAGAGGAAUCAGGGGGCGUUGGGGCAGCCGGGAGGGGCUAGGGGAGUAUUUGGGGGCAGCCCGGAGGGUAGCCUGGAGGCCGCAGUCUGACAGAGAGGAGAUAGGGAUGGCGGAUCAGAAGAGAUGAAUGAAAAUAAAGGAUCUGCAAAGUCCGAGUUGCUGGAAUCCUAAGGAACAGCAGUGGAAUGAAACAUAGUGGAGUAUGAUCUACACAGGGAGCUUGUGACCGGAGUAUGUAUGGGGGAGGUUUUGGCCCUGGGAAGGUGAGGAACUAGCAUGUAGCACUGUCCGAGGCUGACAGCCCAUCUGAAGAGGAUCUUGAGGCUGUUUCUUUUGUCCUCCAGUUCGCAUCAGUAUAUGUGAAGAUUGUGCUAAACUGGUCUGAAGAGCCUGCAAAAACCAAGCAGAUGGUUUGAUUUGCAGCAGGAAAGAAAAAAGUGGGGAAAAAAGCCAUGGCUCUUGCAGUUUGAGAAGAGGCCCUCCAUUGAAAAUUGAUCUUUCUUA